AUUGAACGCUGGCGGCAUGCUUUAUACAUGCAAGUCGAACGGAAGCGCGGGCUUCGGCCUGGCGGCGAGUGGCGAACGGGUGAGUAAUGCAUCGGAACGUGCCCAGUAGUGGGGGAUAGCCUGGCGAAAGCCGGAUUAAUACCGCAUACGACAUGAGGGUGAAAGCGGGGGACCGAAAGGGCUCGCGCUAUUGGAGCGGCCGACGUCGCAUUAGCUAGUUGGUAGGGUAAAGGCUUACCAAGGCGACGAUCCGUAGCCGGCCUGAGAGGACGACCAGCCACACUGGAACUGAGAAACGGUCCCGACUCCCACGGGAGGCAGCAGUAGGGAAUUUUCGGCAAUGGGCGACACCCUGACCCAGCCCCGCCGCGUGAGUGAUGAAGGUCUUCGGAUUGUAAAACCCUUUUUUUAGGGAAGAAAAACUGUGUACGUAACUCCCCGGGUGUUGACCGUACCCAAUAAGAAAGCCACGGCUAACUACGUG
rnacentral:rRNA from 1 species